rnacentral:rRNA from 1 species
UGGGGAAUUUUGGACAAUGGGCGAAAGCCUGAUCCAGCAAUGCCGCGUGUGUGAAGAAGGCCUUCGGGUUGUAAAGCACUUUUGUCCGGAAAGAAAUCCUUGGCUCUAAUACAGUCGGGGGAUGACGUACCGGAAGAAUAAGCACCGGCUAACUACGUGCCAGCAGCCGCGGUAAUACGUAGGGUGCAAGCGUUAAUCGGAAUUACUGGGCGUAAAGCGUGCGCAGGCGGUUUGCUAAGACCGAUGUGAAAUCCCCGGGCUCAACCUGGGAACUGCAUUGGUGACUGGCAGGCUAGAGUAUGGCAGAGGGGGGUAGAAUUCCACGUGUAGCAAGUGAAAUGCGUAGAGAUGUGGAGGAAUACCGAUGGCGAAGGCAGCCCCCUGGGCCAAUACUGACGCUCAUGCACGAAAGCGUGGGGAGCAAACAGGAUUAGAUACCCUGGUAGUCCACGCCCUAAACGAUGUCAACUAGUUGUGGGGAUUCAUUUCCUUAGUAACGUAGCUAACGCGUGAAGUUGA